rnacentral:rRNA from 1 species
CCUACGGGAGGCAGCAGUGGGGAAUUUUGGACAAUGGGCGCAAGCCUGAUCCAGCCAUUCCGCGUGAGUGAAGAAGGCCUUCGGGUUGUAAAGCUCUUUCGCAAGGAAAGCGGUACCUUGAUAAGAAGCACCGGCUAACUACGUGCCAGCAGCCGCGGUAAUACGUAGGGUGCGAGCGUUAAUCGGAAUUACUGGGCGUAAAGCGUGCGCAGGCGGUUCUGUAAGUCAGAUGUGAAAGCCCCGGGCUCAACCUGGGAACUGCGUUUGAAACUACAGGACUAGAGUAUGGCAGAGGGGGGUAGAAUUCCACGUGUAGCAGUGAAAUGCGUAGAGAUGUGGAGGAAUACCAAUGGCGAAGGCAGCCCCCUGGGUCAAACUGACGCUCAUGCACGAAAGCGUGGGGAGCAAACAGGAUUAGAUACCCUAGUAGUC